ensembl:snoRNA small nucleolar RNA SNORA23
UGAAAUCAAUAAACAUAUAUUUAAAAAUAAAAAUAAAAAAUAAAGGAUCCUGCUAUCCACACAAACAUCAUGCAGCCAAAGAGGAGGAUGGGAUCCUAGCACUGGUCUGGUGUUGUCUCAUUGGACAUAAUUUACCACUGGCCAGCCUUCAGAUUCCCACACAGAA